rnacentral:piRNA from 1 species
UCAGAAGUAAAGCGGAGAGAGAGAG